rnacentral:misc_RNA from 1 species
AAAACAGCUCUGGGGUUGUACCCACCCCAGAGGCCCACGUGGCGGCUAGUACUCCGGUAUUGCGGUACCCUUGUACGCCUGUUUUAUACUCCCUUCCCGUAACUUAGACGCACAAAACCAAGUUCAAUAGAAGGGGGUACAAACCAGUACCACCACGAACAAGCACUUCUGUUUCCCCGGUGAUGUCGUAUAGACUGCUUGCGUGGUUGAAAGCGACGGAUCCGUUAUCCGCUUAUGUACUUCGAGAAGCCCAGUACCACCUCGGAAUCUUCAAUGCGUUGCGCUCAGCACUCAACCCCAGAGUGUAGCUUAGGCUGAUGAGUCUGGACAUCCCUCACCGGUGACGGUGGUCCAGGCUGCGUUGGCGGCCUACCUAUGGCUAACGCCAUGGGACGCUAGUUGUGAACAAGGUGUGAAGAGCCUAUUGAGCUACAUAAGAAUCCUCCGGCCCCUGAAUGCGGCUAAUCCCAACCUCGGAGCAGGUGGUCACAAACCAGUGAUUGGCCUGUCGUAACGCGCAAGUCCGUGGCGGAACCGACUACUUUGGGUGUCCGUGUUUCCUUUUAUUUUAUUGUGGCUGCUUAUGGUGACAAUCACAGAUUGUUAUCAUAAAGCGAAUUGGAUU